UACGUAGGGGGCAAGCGUUGUCCGGAAUCAUUGGGCGUAAAGAGCGCGUAGGCGGUCCGGUAAGUCCGCUCUGAAAGCCCGGGGCUCAACCCCGGGAGGCGGGCGGAUACUGUCGGGCUAGAGUCCGGAAGAGGCGAGUGGAAUUCCUGGUGUAGCGGUGAAAUGCGCAGAUAUCAGGAGGAACACCAAUUGCGAAGGCAGCUCGCUGGGACGUUACUGACGCUGAGACGCGAAAGCGUGGGGAGCAAACAGG
rnacentral:rRNA from 1 species